rnacentral:rRNA from 1 species
AGCAGCCGCGGUAAUUCCAGCUCCAAUAGCGUAUAUUAAAGUUGUUGCAGUUAAAAAGCUCGUAGUUGAAUUUCGGGAUUGACACAUCGGUCGUGCCUUAAGGGGUAUGAACUGGUGUAGUCAAUUUCUCACCUUCUGGAGAACCGCGAUGUCCUUAAUUGGGUGCCGCGAGGAACCAGGACCUUUACUUUGAAAAAUUAGAGUGUUUAAAGCAGGCAUUUUUGCUUGAAUACAUUAGCAUGGAAUAAUAAAAUAGGACGGCAUGAUUCUAUUUUGUUGGUUUCUAGGAUCACCGUAAUGAUUAAUAGGGAUAGUUGGGGGCAUUAGUAUUCAAUUGUCAGAGGUGAAAUUCUUGGAUUUAUUGAAGACUAACUACUGCGAAAGCAUUUGCCAAGGAUGUUUUCAUUAAUCAAGAACGAAAGUUAGGGGAUCGAAGACGAUCAGAUACCGUCGUAGUCUUAACCAUAAACUAUGCCGACUAGGAAUCAGACGAUGUUAAUUUUUAAUGACUCGUUUGGCA